AAUGCUUGACAGGGGUGCUGGUUCUGCCGGCUGAGAGCGGGGGUUUCUCCGCAACCCAUAACCUGAUCUGGGUAAUGCCAGCGUAGGGAAAGAAUAAACUGUAUAC
rnacentral:ncRNA from 2 species